GAUGAACGCUAGCUACAGGCUUAACACAUGCAAGUCGAGGGGAAACGACAUCGAAAGCUUGCUUUUGAUGGGCGUCGACCGGCGCACGGGUGAGUAACGCGUAUCCAACCUGCCCAUCACUUGGGGAUAACCUUGCGAAAGUAAGACUAAUACCCAAUGAUAUCUCUAGAAGACAUCUGAAAGAGAUUAAAGAUUUAUCGGUGAUGGAUGGGGAUGCGUCUGAUUAGCCUGUUGGCGGGGUAACGGCCCACCAAGGCAACGAUCAGUAGGGGUUCUGAGAGGAAGGUCCCCCACAUUGGAACUGAGACACGGUCCAAACUCCUACGGGAGGCAGCAGUGAGGAAUAUUGGUCAAUGGGCGAGAGCCUGAACCAGCCAAGUAGCGUGCAGGAAGACGGCCCUAUGGGUUGUAAACUGCUUUUAUAAGGGAAUAAAGUGAGAGUCGUGACUCUUUUUGUAUGUACCUUAUGAAUAAGGACCGGCUAAUUCCGUG
rnacentral:rRNA from 1 species